AUCACCCUCUACGAGGACCGGGGCUUCCAGGGCCGCCACUACGAAUGCAGCAGCGACCACCCCAACCUGCAGCCCUACUUGAGCCGCUGCAACUCGGUGCGCGUGGACAGCGGCUGCUGGGUGCUCUAUGAGCAGCCCAACUACUCGGGCCUCCAGUAGUUCCUGCGCCGCGGCGACUAUGCCGACCACCAGCAGUGGAUGGGCCUCAGCGACUCGGUCCGCUCCUGCCGCCUCAUCCCCCACGCCAGCUCCCACAGGCUCAGGAUCUAUGAGCGAGAGGACUACAGGGGCCAGAUGGUGGAGAUCACUGAGGACUGCUCCUCUCUUCACGACCGCUUCCACCUCAGUGAGAUCCACUCCUUCAACGUGCUGGAGGGCUCCUGGGUCCUCUACGAGCUGCCCAACUACCAGGGGCGGCAGUAC
rnacentral:misc_RNA from 1 species